rnacentral:rRNA from 1 species
UACGUAGGGGGCGAGCGUUGUCCGGAAUUACUGGGCGUAAAGGGUGCGCAGGCGGCGCUUUAAGUCAGAUGUGAAAUACCCGGGCUUAACCCGGGGGGUGCAUUUGAAACUGGAGUGCUUGAGUGCAGGAGAGGAAAGUGGAAUUCCUAGUGUAGCGGUGAAAUGCGUAGAUAUUAGGAGGAACACCAGUGGCGAAGGCGACUUUCUGGACUGUAACUGACGCUGAGGCACGAAAGCGUGGGGAGCAAACAGGAUUAGAUACCCUGGUAGUCCACGCCGUAAACGAUGGAUACUAGGUGUAGGGGGCGAUAGCCCUCUGUGCCGCAGCUAACGCAAUAAGUAUCCCGCCUGGGGAGUACGAUCGCAAGGUUGAA